rnacentral:rRNA from 1 species
UACGGAGGGAGCUAGCGUUGUUCGGAAUUACUGGGCGUAAAGCGCACGUAGGCGGCUUUGUAAGUCAGGGGUGAAAUCCUGGAGCUCAACUCCAGAACUGCCCUUGAUACUGAGGAGCUUGAGUCCGGGAGAGGUGAGUGGAACUGCGAGUGUAGAGGUGAAAUUCGUAGAUAUUCGCAAGAACACCAGUGGCGAAGGCGGCUCACUGGCCCGGUACUGACGCUGAGGUGCGAAAGCGUGGGGAGCAAACAGG